UCUUGAACCCCUUGACUGAGUCUGUUUUCCUUCUGUGGAGUAUACUUUCAUUUAAAAUAAAUCUCUGCUUUCCAUGCCUUGUUUGUGUGUUCUGUCCAAUUCUUCGUUCAAAACACCAAGAACCUGGACAACUACCCUCAAUUGGUAACAUAUUUUGGUGAGCCAGCCAGAAGAAUGGGGAUAGCUGCCUUGCCCAGAAAGGGGAAGGACUCUUUUCUGUCUUUUCCAGUUGUAGUCCCUGAUGCCUAUGAGUGAUGCAAUUGGCAGUGGCAGCCUGUCCAGGGAAAAUUCACACAUGUUUCAGGUGGCUUAAGCCUUCUUUCCUUAUGUUAAAUUCUUCCGUCCCCCUACUUGACUGGCUAAGGAUAAGUCACAGAGUUUGGGCAUAUUGUGGUCUGUGUAACUCAUGGAGGGGAUUCAUGAAAGGGAAUCUAUGUACAAUUUAAUCUUGUCCAAAUUUAGAAAGUUAAAGAAUUGUUUUAAGUGUGAUAGGAAAAAAAAUCCAAAGGUUUGUCUGAAAGUUAAUUCUAGAAGUAGAGACCUUCAUCCAGGGACAAGAGGGAAAACUCACAGUGGGUCAUCAGUGGUGGUUGGAAUCAUUCCAAAGUGGUGGUGGCACCAAUCUAAGGUCAGAGACGUCUAAUGUACUAAGAGGGGUCUCUGGCACUAGAGGAUUGACUGCACCCGCUCCCACCAAGGGGCUCAGUUAGGCAAAAGUCUAGCAGUGUGAAAGGAGGAAU
rnacentral:lncRNA from 10 species